rnacentral:rRNA from 1 species
CCUACGGGUGGCAGCAGUGAGGAAUAUUGGUCAAUGGGCGCGAGCCUGAACCAGCCACGUCGCGUGAAGGAUGACGGCCCUACGGGUGGUAAACUUCUUUUAUAAAGGAAUAAAGUGAUGCACGUCUGCCUUUUUGUAUGUACUUUAUGAAUAAGGAUCGGCUAACUUCGUGCCAGCAGCCGCGGCAAUACGGAGGAUCCGAGCGUUAUCCGGAUUUAUUGGGUGUAAAGGGAGCGUAGAUGGGUUGUUAAGUCAGUUGUGAAAGUUUUCGGCUCAACCGUAAAAUUGCAAUUGAUACUGGCAGUCUUGAGUACAGGUGAGGUAGGCGGAAUUCGUGGUGUAGCGGUGAAAUGCUUAGAUAUAACGAAGAACUCCGAUGGCGAAGGCGGCUUACUAAACGGCAACUGACAUUGAUGCUCGAAAGUGUGGGUAUCAAACAGGAUUAGAUACCCUUGUAGUC